CCUACGGGAGGCAGCAGUGGGGGAUAUUGCACAAUGGGGGAAACCCUGAUGCAGCGACGCCGCGUGCGUGAAGAAGUCUUUCGGUAUGUAAAGCUCUAUCAGCAGGGAAGAAAAUGACGGUACCUGACCAAGAAGCCCCGGCUAACUACGUGCCAGCAGCCGCGGUACUACGUAGGGGGCAAGCGUGAUCCGGAUUUACUGGGUGUAAGGGGAGCGUAGACGGUUAUGUAAGUCUGUAGUGAAAGCCCGGGGCCCAACCCCGGGACUGCUUUGGAAACUGUGUAACUGGAGUACAGGAGGGGCAGGCGGAAUGCCUGGUGUAGCGGUGAAAUGCGUAGAUAUCAGGAGGAACACCGGCGGCGAAGGCGGCCUGCUGGACUGAAACUGACGUUGAGGCUCGAAAGCGUGGGGAGCAAACAGGAUUAGAUACCCCUGUAGUC
rnacentral:rRNA from 1 species